rnacentral:rRNA from 1 species
GGCUAGAGUUUGAUCAUGGCUCAGGAUGAACGCUAGCUACAGGCUUAACACAUGCAAGUCGAGGGGCAUCAGGAAGAAAGCUUGCUUUCUUUGCUGGCGACCGGCGCACGGGUGAGUAACACGUAUCCAACCUGCCCUUUACUCGGGGAUAGCCUUUCGAAAGAAAGAUUAAUACCCGAUAGCAUAAUGAUUCCGCAUGGUUUCAUUAUUAAAGGAUUCCGGUAAAGGAUGGGGAUGCGUUCCAUUAGGUUGUUGGUGAGGUAACGGCUCACCAAGCCUUCGAUGGAUAGGGGUUCUGAGAGGAAGGUCCCCCACAUUGGAACUGAGACACGGUCCAAACUCCUACGGGAGGCAGCAGUGAGGAAUAUUGGUCAAUGGGCGUUAGCCUGAACCAGCCAAGUAGCGUGAAGGAUGAAGGCUCUAUGGGUCGUAAACUUCUUUUAUAUAAGAAUAAAGUGCAGUAUGUAUACUGUUUUGUAUGUAUUAUAUGAAUAAGGAUCGGCUAACUCCGUGCCAGCAGCCGCGGUAAUACGGAGGAUCCGAGCGUUAUCCGGAUUUAUUGGGUUUAAAGGGAGCGUAGGUGGACUGGUAAGUCAGUUGUGAAAGUUUGCGGCUCAACCGUAAAAUUGCAGUUGAUACUGUCAGUCUUGAGUACAGUAGAGGUGGGCGGAAUUCGUGGUGUAGCGGUGAAAUGCUUAGAUAUCACGAAGAACUCCGAUUGCGAAGGCAGCUCACUGGACUGCAACUGACACUGAUGCUCGAAAGUGUGGGUAUCAAACAGGAUUAGAUACCCUGGUAGUCCACACAGUAAACGAUGAAUACUCGCUGUUUGCGUUAUACAGUAAGCGGCCAAGCGAAAGCAUUAAGUAUUCCACCU